rnacentral:rRNA from 1 species
GCUUGUUGGUGGGGUAAUGGCCUACCAAGGCGACGACGGGUAGCCGGCCUGAGAGGGUGACCGGCCACACUGGGACUGAGAUACGGCCCAGACUCCUACGGGAGGCAGCAGUGGGGAAUAUUGCACAAUGGGCGCAAGCCUGAUGCAGCGACGCCGCGUGAGGGAUGACGGCCUUCGGGUUGUAAACCUCUUUCAGCACAGACGAAGCGCAAGUGACGGUAUAUGCAGAAGAAGGACCGGCCAACUACGUGCCAGCAGCCGCGGUAAUACGUAGGGUCCGAGCGUUGUCCGGAAUUACUGGGCGUAAAGAGCUCGUAGGUGGUUUGUCGCGUUGUCCGUGAAAACUCACAGCUCAACUGUGGGCGUGCGGGCGAUACGGGCAGACUGGAGUACUGCAGGGGAGACUGGAAUUCCUGGUGUAGCGGUGGAAUGCGCAGAUAUCAGGAGGAACACCGGUGGCGAAGGCGGGUCUCUGGGCAGUAACUGACGCUGAGGAGCGAAAGCGUGGGGAGCGAACAGGAUUAGAUACCCUGGUAGUCCACGCCGUAAACGGUGGGUACUAGGUGUGGGUUUCCUUCCUUGGGAUCCGUGCCGUAGCUAGCGCAUUAAGUACCCCGCCUGGGGAGUACGGAAU